rnacentral:tRNA from 1 species
GGUGCUAUAGCUCAGUGGCAGAGCACCUGCCUUGCACACGUGAGACACUGGUUUCAGUCCUCAGCACCA